rnacentral:rRNA from 1 species
CUUAACUGUAACUUGACAGUGAGGUUCGGAAUAUUCUGCGUAGAAUAGGUGGGAGACUGUGAAACCGGGGUUCUGGCCUCGGUUGAGUCACAACGUGAAAUACCACCCUGGAUGUUCUGGACUUCUCACCGACCUCCAUCACUGGAAGCGGGACACUGUCUGGCGGGCAGUUUGACUGGGGCGGUCGCCUCCCAAAAAGUAACGGAGGCGCACGAAGGUCACCUCAGGCUGAUUGGAAACCAGCCGUAGCGUGCAAAGGCAGAAGGUGGCUUGACUGCGAGACCGACAGGUCGAGCAGGUGCGAAAGCAGGUCUUAGUGAUCCGGUGGUCCCGUAUGGAAGGGCCAUCGCUCAUCGGAUAAAAGGUA